CCAAGUUUGUUUGUUUUUAAACUUGACUUCUGUCCUAAGAUCCUUUUCAUGAACUUUUACCCUGAUUCACACAAUCAUCGGAGCGAGGCGGGGAAACCCUUUGCUGGUGUUGAAACACAGCCAGUCUCCUUCCCUUCAGAAGGUACAAAAAAAACCAGAAGGUCAUAAGGACACUCAUUAUAGGACAAAUACUCUCAUUACAGAGGAGCCUGGCAGCAAUUUCCUGGCUACUGUGAAAAUGCUGAAAGCAAGACCAGCAAAGGCGAGUCUGAUAAGUUAUUCUGCUUGACAUCUGGGCUAAAGAAUUCACCAUAUAAGUAACCUAACUGAUAAGAGAUGAGGCAAUGUGAUCCUACCAGCAUCUGGUGCAAUGAAGAAGGCUCUUUUGAAGCCACCUCCUGAAGAGGUGCGCAUAUACUAAUUCAAACUGGAUUCUCCAAGGACCACCAGACAGAGAAAGGAUUUGUGGAUAAACACCCUGAGUUUAAACUGACUCUGGGCAGCCUUUCUGAUCCAGCAAACAGACAGGACUUCUGGUCCAAGGUGGACCCAAUCCUUGCCUUCCACUCAAGAGUGCAACAUCAAAUAUAACAAUGAGAUGGCAAACCGAACUGUUUCACACUAUACAUGCUACUAGGUAUGACAAAAGUAAAACCCACAUUUUCUUGUUAUCACCAACACAGCUGAUGGAGAGAAGUCAAGGAAAGACAAGGGAGAACAGUAAAAAUGUGAAUACCACCCCCAUGAUCACAAAAUGUUGGGAGAAGAAAAAAUAGACAGCUCUUGACGCAAAAACUUUAUUAAAAGAUCCUUUAAGCAUUCA